UCCCGUGAUCUCCAGAAUCCAUUUGUCCAAUGUGAAUUCCAAGUGUUGAUGUCUCCAAAAGGUGCUUCAACAGUAACCAGGCUCCAAAAUAGAGGGGCGGAGGGAAGGUCAGUGUGGCACUGUAGAGACAAGACAAUCAGAGAACAGGAGUUACACAAGACUAAGAUACGAGGG